rnacentral:misc_RNA from 1 species
GUUUAAAAACAGAAUUUUCGUAGGUGGUUUACCAAAAAAUACGAGAGCAUUUAACGUCGCAAAAUAUUUUGAACGUUUUGGGGAAGUCCUUGACUCUAAGGUAGUAAUCUCUGGAGGAGUCUCAAAAGGCUACGGCUUUGUCACUUUCAGUCGUGAAGAACACGUGCAUGCAAUUAUGAAUGCUCUCCCGUUAUAUUAUGCAAAUAGAAAAUUAAAUAUUGGACCUGCUAUUCGAAAACAAGUUCCAGAUGAUCAUGGAGAAUCAGUACUCGUUAUAACAAGAUGGAGACCUGAAUUGGCAAGCACCAGACAUUUUCCCCAAGUCAGGCCUUUUUAUGGGCAACCUAUGCCUUAUGGAGUUACUAGAUUUGGAACAACAUAUUAUAUCUAAUUUAAAAUUUUAAAAUUAUUUGCUAGUUACGUGUUAUAAUU